CCAAGAGUCUGAGACCAGCCUGGGCAACAUGGCAAAACCAUGUCUCUACAAAAAAUUAAAAAUGAGCCGAGUGGGGUGGCUACUCCACGUAGUCUCAGUUACUCAGGAGGCUGAGGUGGGAGGAUCAUUUGAGCCCAGGAGGUGAAUGCUGCAGUGAGCCAAGAUCGCACCACUGCACUCCAGCCUGAGUGACAGAGAGAGACCCUGUCUCAAAAAAAAAUUAAAAAAAAAUUUUUUUUUAAAUUGUAUUUGCUCUUACAGGCCCAAGAGGCAGCAGCAAAGGUCAGCAUCUCCACCACCCCAUCAGGUCUUGCCCAUGUUGACCCAGGUGCUGGGACAGGAGGCACACACUGAACUUACUGCUCCCGUUGACUUCUCAUCUGGUUCCAGGCUUUGAAGAGGGUCAGAAGGAUGGAAGACUUGGCCCCUCCUCUCUAGUAGUGUACACCAUGCCUGAGGAGACCACAUAUCAACAUGGAACAGCCCCGGUUAGGGCACAAGGGCGCUGGGGCCUGGACAGUCAUGCCAUGGGAGCUCAGUGGGAGGCUGGACUUAGGCUGAGGUGCGUGGGGAGAGCUUCCUGGACAGCUGGGAUCUAAGGAUGCUUAAAUCAUGGACAGGAAAGCAGCUGCAGCCUAACGAAGAGCAGGGGUGUUAGGAGGCUUCCCUAAAGUUCUGUGACCCUGUAGAACUGUUGCCACUGCUAUGGUCACUGCUGCAACUACAAGCACUGCAUCUGGCAUGGGAGCUUGAUGGACCAGAGCACAUGCAAAGAGGGCAUCGGAAAUCCCAGAAGGGUAUGCGGGACCUUGUACCCUGUGGGAUUCCCAUGCUUACUUCAGGCAAACAGUAAGCCAGUAAGUGGAUGGCUGGCAGAGCUUCCCCCAGACUCUGAGGCUCUCAAACCCAUCUUUCGUGCAGAGAGAAUUGUGUGGUUAUCAUCCCCAGAACUCACCUGCUGAGUAAUUCGAUGCGAGUGAUUUGAUGUUCAGUCCCUCCUAGCAGGAGGCAGACCAGCAGGGAGUUACAGUUAACACUAACUGGGCAUGGCUAUUGAGGCAGGAGAGUAGGGUCUGGAGUCAGGCUGGUCACAGGCCAAGUCUUCAUUUGCAGAGGAGUAUAACUUUGUAAGUUCACUUCAGCCUCUGAUUGGUCACUUUCUGCAAUCAAUCAGACAUUUGCAUAGGGUGUAACUUUGUAUCUUCACUUCAGCCUCUGAUUAGUUGCUUUCUGCAAUCAAUCAGACUGAUCGUGGGCCACUAUUUCAUUUACAUAGGGUGUAAACCAAGUAACCAAUGGAAAACCUCUAGAGGGUAUUUAAACCCCAGAAAAUUCUGUAACCAAAGCUCUUGAGCUGCUUGCUCGAGCCCCCUCCCACUCUGUGUCGCGUACUUUUGUUUCAAUAAAUCUGUGCUUUUCUUUUGUUGCUUUGUUUGUGCUUUUUGUCCAAUUCUUUGUUCAAAAUGCAAAGAACCUAGACAGUUAUGACUUUUUGUUUUCAUUGUCCUUUUUCCAAAAUUGUAUCUGAGGGGAGACUUCCUGGGCUCUGUUAAGAUCAAGCACAUCUGCCUUCAGGGAUGAUGGGCUUGAGGCAAAUACUCAAAGCCACCUGAGGGUCCUCUUGUCCACUGUGUCUAUUCCAUCAAGGAGCACACAUUUGGAGCUGGGGAAGAGCAUGGUCCAUCUUGGUGUCAGAGAGGAGGCUACUGUCCUGGCUGAACCAGAGGGAUUGCCAAGAGAACAGGAAAAAUCGAGCCUAUGGCAUGAAAGGGCAGCUGUGGUGAACUGUUUGCGCAGACCAAUGUGUCAGUAGUGUCUACCUGGGUCAAAAGACACCUCUGGUCUUUCUUUAACCUGUCUCCUUGCCUUCAGGAUGCUACCUCUACCCAAAUGCUGCUGCCCCUGAUAUCUUCCUAAGAACAGAUCUAAUCAUGUCACCAUUCUGCCAGCACCCCGGGAAGGCUCAGGGUCACAUAUCAAAACAAGUUCAGGACUUCUAGCAUUAUGGCAGAUGGCCUUCCCAUGAAAAAAAAACAUAGAAAUGUUGGGUAAACGAUAACAACAAAAGUUUUUUUUAAUGUGUGCUGUCUUUAAACAAAAUAAAAGGAAAUCCUCACGUGGUAGAAAUGGAAGAGAGAAACCACAGCCAAAGCAGUAAGUAUAAGCUGGAAACCUAGAGCCCAUGGAAAUUGCAGAGGAGCCAAAUUUAGGCUCUAGAGACUGGGCUGAAAUUAAAGCACCUGUGUGAGAAUAGGACAUGUGGCCUUAGGCUUGCUUGGAGGAGAGAAAAUGGUUUUUUCAUUUGUUUGUUUUAAGACGGAGUCUCGCACUGUUGC
rnacentral:lncRNA from 1 species